rnacentral:rRNA from 1 species
GACGAACGCUGGCGGCGUGCUUAACACAUGCAAGUCGAACGGAAAGGCCCCUUUGGGGGUACUCGAGUGGCGAACGGGUGAGUAACACGUGAGUAACCUGCCCUUGACUUCGGGAUAACUUCAGGAAACUGGGGCUAAUACCGGAUAGGAAUCCUUGCUGCAUGGUGGGGGUUGGAAAGCUUCGGCGGUUUUGGAUGGACUCGCGGCUUAUCGGCUUGUUGGUGGGGUAGUGGCUUACCAAGGCUUUGACGGGUAGCCGGCCUGGGAGGGCGACCGGCCACAUUGGGACUGAGGUGCGGCCGAGACUGCGACGGGAGGCAGAAGGGGGGAAUAUUGAACAAUGGGCGGAGGGCGGAUGCAGCAAGGCCGCGUGCGGGAUGACGGCCUUCGGGUGGUAAACCGCUUUCAGCAGGGGCGAAGCUUGUGGUGACGGUACCUACAGAAGAAGCACCGGCUAACUACGUG